rnacentral:rRNA from 1 species
GGACUACCAGGGUUUCUAAUCCUGUUUGCUCCCCACGCUUUCGCACCUCAGCGUCAGUACCGGACCAGUGAGCCGCCUUCGCCACUGGUGUUCUUCCUAAUAUCUACGAAUUCCACCUCUACACUAGGAGUUCCACUCACCUCUUCCGGACUCUAGAUUGCCAGUAUCAAAGGCAGUUCUGGAGUUGAGCUCCAGGAUUUCACCUCUGACUUAACAAUCCGCCUACGUGCGCUUUACGCCCAGUAAAUCCGAACAACGCUAGCCCCCUUCGUAUUACCGCGGCUGCUGGCAC